rnacentral:rRNA from 1 species
GUGCAGCAGUCGAGAAUUUUCUCAAUGGGGAAACCCUGAAGGAGCGACGCCGCGUGGAGGAUGAAGGCCUUCGGGUUGUAAACUCCUGUCAUUUGAGAACAAGGAGCCGAGAGUAACUACUUCGGCUUUGAUAGUAUCAGAAGAGGAAGGGACGGCUAACUCUGUGCCAGCAGCCGCGGUAAUACAGAGGUCCCAAGCGUUGUUCGGAUUCAUUGGGCGUAAAGGGUGCGUAGGUGGCGCCAUAAGUCAGGUGUGAAAUUUCGGAGCUUAACUCCGAAACUGCAUUUGAUACUGUGGUGCUUGAGGACUGGAGAGGAGACUGGAAUUUACGGUGUAGCAGUGAAAUGCGUAGAGAUCGUAAGGAAGACCAGUGGCGAAGGCGGGUCUCUGGACAGUUCCUGACACUGAGGCACGAAGGCCAGGGGAGCAAACGGGAUUAGAUACCCCGGUAGU